rnacentral:rRNA from 1 species
GAUGAACGCUGGCGGCGUGCCUAAUACAUGCAAGUCGAGCGAACGGACGAGAAGCUUGCUUCUCUGAUGUUAGCGGCGGACGGGUGAGUAACACGUGGAUAACCUACCUAUAAGACUGGGAUAACUUCGGGAAACCGGAGCUAAUACCGGAUGAUCUUUUGCACCGCAUGGUUCAAAAGUGAAAGACGGUCUUGCUGUCACUUCUAGAUGGAUCCGCGCUGCAUUAGCUAGUUGGUAAGGUAACGGCUUACCAAGGAAACGAUGCAUAGCCGACCUGAGAGGGUGAUCGGCCACACUGGAACUGAGACACGGUCAAGACGCCUACGGGAGGCAGCAGUAGGGAAUCUGCCGCAAUGGGCGAAAGCCUGACGGAGCAACGCCGCGUGAGUGAUGAAGGUCUUCGGAUCGUAAAACUCUGUUAUUAGGGAAGAACAGAUGUGUAAGUAACUGUGCACAUAGUGACGGUACCUAAUCAGAAAGCCACGGCUAACUACGUG